UACAUACUCCCUCCAUCCCAAAAUUCUUGUCUUAGAUUUGUCUAGAUAUGUAUGUAUCUAGUCACGCUUUAGUAUUUAUAUAUACUUAUUUCUAUACAAAACUAAGACAAGAAUUUUGGGACGGAGGGAGUAUGAU
rfam:Hordeum vulgare subsp. vulgare, WGS project CAJW01000000 data, contig: morex_contig_64385